rnacentral:rRNA from 1 species
UGUAACGGGGCUAAACCAUGCACCGAAGCUGCGGCAGCGAACGUAUCACCCAAGACAACUUUACGGAGUUGACGAUUGACGGAGCGAAGCGACGUCAAAGCGUUCAUUAAAGUCGAGUUGGCUUAGGGAUACGUUCGUUGGGUAGGGGAGCGUUCUGUAAGCCUGUGAAGGUGUGUCGUGAGGCAUGCUGGAGGUAUCAGAAGUGCGAAUGCUGACAUAAGUAACGAUAAAGCGGGUGAAAAGCCCGCUCGCCGGAAGACCAAGGGUUCCUGUCCAACGUUAAUCGGGGCAGGGUGAGUCGACCCCUAAGGCGAGGCCGAAAGGCGUAGUCGAUGGGAAACGGGUUAAUAUUCCCGUACUUGGUGUUACUGCGAAGGGGGGACGGAGAAGGCUAUGUUGGCCGGGCGACGGUUGUCCCGGUUUAAGCGUGUAGGUGUGUGUUCCAGGUAAAUCCGGUUCACUUUAACACUGAGGCGUGACGACGAGGCACUACGGUGCUGAAGCAACAAAUGCCCUGCUUCCAGGAAAAGCCUCUAAGCAUCAGGUAACACGAAAUCGUACCCCAAACCGACACAGGUGGUCAGGUAGAGAAUACCAAGGCGCUUGAGAGAACUCGGGUGAAGGAACUAGGCAAAAUGGUGCCGUAACUUCGGGAGAAGGCACGCUGACACGUAGGUGAAGUGAUUUACUCAUGGAGCUGAAGUCAGUCGAAGAUACCAGCUGGCUGCAACUGUUUAUUAAAAACACAGCACUGUGCAAACACGAAAGUGGACGUAUACGGUGUGACGCCUGCCCGGUGCCGGAA